rnacentral:lncRNA from 1 species
GACUGUUCUCUAGAGCUGCUUAGUAGAAACCAGGAGUGUGUGGGAGGAAAGCCCUGGUAAACUUCGACCCUGAGACAGAAGACCUCAGCAGCCUUCAGCAUGGGAUGCAGCACUUUCUUUAUUGCCCAUCCAGGGAACAGCCAAGCCAGCUCCAUCUGCAUUCUGGCUGCAGCGUGUACAUUAGGGGACUCAGGGGCCACAGUGUGGGACCGUGCACACUGGCAAGGCACUGGCGGAUGCUGGCAGGCCAGUGGACAUGGAUAGAUGAGAAUGACAACUCACAGAUGUCCUAGCUUCUGCUGGCCCGGCUGCCAACCACUGGCCAUCACCCUUUUGCCCAGCAUGUGUGCAUUGUCACCCAAAACAUCUUGAAGCUUGCCAUUAGUGAGGCAUUCAACAAAGAAGUAAGCUAAGUGAGUAGGAAACAGUGUUUCCUGGAAUAUACCGCACUCUGCCUGAAAUAGGAAAACUAUGUUUGCCGGGAAGCAGCAGCAGCAGGAAAGAAGUUAUACCAAAAACGACUUGUACACCACAGACAUUAUAACCCUUUCCUCAAAGAAACAGUCAUGUUCUGUUGGGUAUUAUGGACAGGUCUCUGGAAAUUUAUCUAAUAAAGACCAACAAACUUCCCCAGCAGUGCCUCUGAGUACCGUGUGAAUUCUGGUGUCUUGUGGAAGUCAGGGUGCCUUCUUUGCAUCCAAAGCUUUGAGGGAGCUGGGAAGCUUUGGUUCCAUUUUAGGAGGGCUGUGUGAUGGUGACAAAGGUGUUCUGGUCAUUUCUGCUCUGUUCUCAGUUCUGUGAAGUGAGGUGGAUGUAAUGUGCUGUGGGAUGGGGUGCUCCAUAUGUGUGUGUAGCCUUUACUUUCCAACUUAGUUUUUUGCACCUCUCUUGUACUGACGAGCCAUACCUCUCAGCCUUCAUUUGGUCCCAGGCCUGACCCUUUGCCUUCAUCAUCAGCUUUUCUGUCCUGCUCCGGCAGGAUUAACUCUGUUCUUGCCGCGGAUGUCACCAUCACUCUGGAGUCCAGCCCAGUGCCCACAGGCCCGAUCAGUUCACCCUCUUCCUUCUCUUCAGGGGAGAAACUUUCUCGGGCAUCGAAAAAGGUGAUUGUUUCUUCUUGAAGUUUUUGUUCUUCCAGCUCUGCCUCAUCUUCGGUGCUUUUGCUUUUCUUGGUAGGAGAUGAGGAGAACCCUAAUUUGGGAAAUCGGAACCAGCCUGCCUUCUCCUGUUUUUUAGGCAGUUCUGCCUCUGGUCGUGCCUCAGGCUGUGUUUGAAUGGGAGCAGAUCUCUGGACGUCAUUUUUGGAAUCAACACCUGUCUCAUCAACAGAAGAGGAAAACCCAAUGUUUGGAAGCCAAAACCAGAGCAGACCAGAUUUUUUACUUUCUGGUUUGUCUUUUGGAGCCCUGCCUUCAUCUGCCAGUGGUGUGGUUGCCUCUUGGCUAUCAUCAGGGGGAAACUCAAGAAUUUCUGCUGGCUCCUCAUCUGAACAGCUGUCUGCAAGCUGGUAGCCAGAAGGAACUUCAAAUGUGAGUGUUUGCUGUCCCAGUACAUUGACACUGGAAGAGAUCAUCUCAAAUGGUUCUCCAGUGUCAGGCUGGAGAUCUCCAGAAAUGGAGUCUACUCCUGGGGUGGCUUGUAUGGGAGCCUCUUCUGUGCCCUCCUGAGUCCUAGAGUGUUGAGUCAUUGUUGUGUACACUCUAGCCUGCGUGUGGGGCUCUGGGAUUUUCACUUUUAAUAAGGAAAAUCCGUACGAAGGUGUUUGAAUCUCUGACGUGGGGAUCUCUGAUUCCCGCACAAUCUGAGUGGAAAAAGUCCUGGGUACUGAGAGAUCUACAAACUCUGGUGUCACUAUGCUGUGUAUAGUGACCUCUUGACUUUCAACCUGAGCACCCUGAAUAUGCACUCUGACCUUUGAAAUUGGGGGAGCUUCCAAAGGCAGGUUAAGGUCCACAGGCUGCUCCCCGGGGACCCCAGCACCUGCCUUCAGGAUGCUGGCUCCCCAGAGCCCCGGACUUCCCUUACAAAGGGCUGUAUCAAUAUUGGCCUCUGGACACUGCACUUCCCUCACAGUGGGGAUGAACACAUCAUCCUCUGAGCUGGGGGCAGGGAAGGAGAACCUUGGUACCAUUAAUUUGGGGAAUUUGACAGUUAGGACAGAAUCUUCCCACAGUUGAUCUACAUUAACCACAGAAAUCUGGGAUGGCGUAUCAGUACUUGAAGCUUUCAAUUUAAGUGGACCUUCAGGCUGGGAAGACCAUUUCUCUGUUUUAUCCUCCAUGCUGACAAGGUCAUGUCCUGGCUUGGAAAGAGGAGUCUCAUCUAUUUCUCCUGGAAGAACCUGGGUUUCUGGAAGCCUCAUUCCAGGCAUCUGAAAAGGGAGAGGUCCUUUGGAUGGAUGGAUCCUGACCUCAGAAGUGGAAAGCUCAUCCCCAGUCAUCCCAGCAGUGGAGAGGUGCAGCUUCAAGCCUGUGCUGUCAAGAUCACACCUUAGAAUAUCUGUGGAUGAUUUGCUCUCAGAAGCUGUCACUUCUGCAUCUGCCUCUGGGAGCUGUAGGGACAUAGCUGCCUCCACAUUUGACCCAGAAACAAGGAACUCUUUGACUUUAGCUGCUGCUUCACCCCCUGUUGCUGCCAGUGCCUGUGUCUGAGCCACUUCCAGCUUUCCAGCCCCGCCUCUGUCCUUGAAAGAGCGCCUAAGGCUGGGCAUGCGGAACUUGGGCAUUUUAAACCAGCUUUCCUGUGAGUCCUUGGUCAUGGCUUCCUCCUCUGGGCUUUCCACUGUGAGGACUUCAGCAUCUGGUUUUCUACAGGAUGGCUGGAGGGGAUCUUCAGGUGUGGGGGCUAUCCCCUCCCCACAAGGCUGGCUCGCUGGGACAUCCCCGAGCCCACAUCCUCUGCUGUCACCUUCGGUAGACAGAUCAUGUUUGGGAAGAGGCAGGUCAGCUUCAGGCUGGCUCACCUCCACCUUGGCCUUGGAGGAUCUGAGAUCAGGUUUGGCAAAGCCCAAACUGGGAAUGCGGACCUGUGGCCGGUGGAGGUUCACACCCUCACUUCCUGUGGCACUUGCUGUUGCACCAAGUCCUCCCCUACCACCGUCACUGCUGGCCUUUUCUGUGUCUUGAAAGCUACCCCCUGCUGUGGCACUAGAAAGGGAAGGAUCCACGUCUCUCUGUGGCAGGCUGACCCCACUCUUAGAAGCCUUCAUUUUGGGAAGUGCAAGUUUUGGCAUGGCAAAGCCAGGCUUUGUGCUCCUCCCCUUCUCUCCAUCCCUCUCAGGAGGCAGAUCCAUGUGGAUGGCAGACUGCGGGGCCACUUCAUCCUUGUCUAAAACCAGGCUGAGUUUUGAGUCCUCCACGCUGCAUUCUGGGUCCACCUGUGGCCCUGUUUCCUUCUUCGGGGACCACCUAAAUGAUGGAAGCUUAAUCUUAGGCAUUUUCAAGGGACUCCCUUUCCCUUCGUGGUCAGCAUCUUCAGAAGGGGCUUCUCCAGGGGCCACUACUGAUGUCUGCAAGGAGGCCACAAGCUCUUCUGGGCUCUGGGACACAGAGGUGCCUAGGGAUGGCAGCUGGGUGCUUGGCAAGGGGCACUGCACUCCUUCUCCAGGGCUAAGAGGAGACAUGACUGGGGCACCCACUGCUGCAUGUAGGUCUCCCUCAGGAACUGCCAUUUGGGGGACUGAAAACACAAACUUUGGUUUAUAGAAUUUAGGAAAAGACACCUGACCAAGAGAAACAGGAAUCAUGGAAUUCAGUGGGCCAGAGUGACUCUCAGCUUGAGAUGUUGGAACUCCCUCUGGAGGCUGCAGGUCAGCAGAGCACUCUGUCUUGGGAAGAGAAAUAUCAGCCUGAGACCCAGAAGGAAUUUCCAGAGCGAGCUCAGGGGCCAAGACAGCUCUGGGAACAGUCACCUGGUAUUUUGUAAGUGUAACAUCCUCACAGGGAGAGAGAAUAGAAGAUUCAAAGUGAGGACCAGUGAGAUCAAGCCGGGAUGAUGGAAACCCAGCCAAACCCACCUUAGGCAUCUGCAUGGAUGGCUCUGAACAAGCCGAAACCUGUUGUAAUUCAAAACUUGAGGAUUCUGAAGAUGAUAAAGGAAUCGUGGAAAGACCUAUGCUAGACUUUGCACCUGGGACUAAACUAUCUUUAGGAGUUUUGGUAGAAGAAAAUGAAACUUUGGGCACUUUAAAAUGCAGUUUCUUAAACUUUGAAUCCAUUCCAACUUCUCCAACAGCAAGCCCCAAGUUACCAUCGCGAGAUGGAUCAUGAAGAUCACCUUCAUGAACAACAGAUUCCACAACGGGAAAUGCGGAAGUCUUCUCAUGGAAUGUAACAUUUCCUUCGAUUUCAGAGGAAGACAUGGAAACUUUCUUUGACGACCAUUCAAAACCAGACGUGCUCAGUUUUGGCCCUUGAAACUUACUGUCUUUCCCAGCUACAUCCUCGUGGGCCAGGGACAGGUCCCCCUCAAGCUGCACACCAUCCAGCAUGGAUCCUGGGGCCUGGACGUCCAUCUCCACACUGGGCAGAGACACCUCCACGUCGGGGGCCAUCACCUCUGCCUCUGGGCCUUUCAGGUCCAGCUUGGGGCCCUUGAGGUCCACUUUGGGCAUCUUGAAACUGGGCAUCUGCACCUUGGGCAGGUGCCCUUUGAGGCCGGCUACCUCGGGCAUGUGGCCUUCUGGAAGUUUCAAGUCCACCUGGCCAGCCUGGACCUCCAGGUCGGCGGAAGGGGCCUGAAUGCGGAGGUCAGUGGUCUUGAGGUCCCCCUGCAUGGAGGGAAGGCUCAUGUCGGCCUCCAUCUUCGGCGCAGACACAUCCACCGAGACCUCGAUGGACUUGCCUGGGGACAACAUCCCAAAGGAUGGCAUCUUGAACUUGGGCAUUUUCAACUUGCUGUCUUUGGCAGUCACGUCCUUGUCAGCCAGGGACAGGUCCCCCUCCAGCCGCGUACCGUCCAGCUUGGCUCCUGGGGCUUGGAUGUCCACCUCCAUGCUGGGCAGAGACACGUCCAGGUUGGGGGCCGUCACCUCCACCUUGGGGCCUUUCAGGUCCAGCUUGGGGACAUUAACGUCUAUCUGGGGACCCUUGAGGUCCACUUUGGGUACCUUGAAACGGGGCAUCUGCACCUUGGGCAGGUGCCCUUUGAGGCCGGCUCCCUCGUGCACGGGGCCUUCUUGGAGUUUCACAUCCUCUUGGCCAGCCUGGACCUCCAGAUCAGCGGAAGGGGGCUGAAUGCUGAGGUCAGUGGUCUUCAGGUCCCCCUGCAUGGAGGGGAGGCUCACGUCAGCCUCCACCUUCGGCGCAGACACAUCCAACGAGGCCUCGAUGGACUUGCCUGGGGCAGACACCCCGAACGACGGCAUCUUGAACUUGGGCAUUUUGAACUUGCUGUCUUUGGCAGGCACAUCCUUGUCGGCUAGGGACAGGUCACCCUCCAGCCGCGCACUGUCCAGCUUGGCUCCCCGGGCCUCGACGUCCACCUCCACGCUGGGCAGAGACACUUCCACGUCGGGGGCCAUCACCUCCGCCUUGGGGCCUUUCAGGUCCAGCUUGGGGCCCUUGACAUCCACCUGGGGGCCCUUGAGGGCCACUUUGGGCAUCUUCAAACUGGGCAUCUGCACCUUGGGCAGGUGCCCUUUGAGGCUGGCUCCCUCGGGCAGGGGGCCCUCCGGGAGUUUCAUGUCCACUUGGCCAGCCUGGACCUCCAGGUCGGCGGAAGGGGACUGAAUGCUGAGGUCAGUGGUCUUGAGGUCCCCCUGCAUGGAGGGGAGGCUCACGUCGGCUUCCGCCUUCAGCUCAGACACAUCCACCGAGGCCUCGAUGGAC